rnacentral:rRNA from 1 species
ACGGAGGGGGCUAGCGUUGUUCGGAAUUACUGGGCGUAAAGAGCUCGUAGGCGGGAGCGCGCGUCUGGGAGGAAAUCUCACGGCUCAACUGUGAGGCUUUCCCAGAUACGGCGCUUCUUGAGGGCAGGAGAGGUAACUGGAAUUCCCGGUGUAGCGGUGAAAUGCGUAGAUAUCAAGAGGAACACCAGUGGCGAAGGCGAGUCCCUGGACAAUACCUGACACUGAGGCACGAAAGCCAAGGGAGCAAACAGGA